rnacentral:rRNA from 1 species
UACAGAGGGGGCAAGCGUUGUUCGGAAUUACUGGGCGUAAAGGGCGCGUAGGCGGCCUGUUAAGUCGAACGUGAAAUCCCCGGGCUCAACCCGGGAACUGCGUCCGAUACUGGCAGGCUUGAAUCCGGGAGAGGGAUGCGGAAUUCCAGGUGUAGCGGUGAAAUGCGUAGAUAUCUGGAGGAACACCGGUGGCGAAGGCGGCAUCCUGGACCGGUAUUGACGCUGAGGCGCGAAAGCCAGGGGAGCAGACGGG